AACGUAGGAGACAAACGUUAUCCGGAGUUACUGGGCGUAAAGGGCGUGUAGGCGGAAUGUUAAGUCUGGCGUGAAAGCUCUCGGCUAAACCGGGAGAGGUCGUUGGAUACUGGCAAACUAGAGGGUGGUAGAGGCGUGUGGAAUUCCGGGUGUAGUGGUGAAAUGCGUAGAGAUCCGGAGGAACACCAGUGGCGAAGGCGACACGCUGGGCCACACCUGACGCUAAAGCGCGACAGCAUGGGGAGCAAACGGG
rnacentral:rRNA from 1 species